rnacentral:rRNA from 1 species
AUGGAGCUUUAGACACACAGGUGGCCCAUGUCAAAUACCCCUAGCCAAAGGCCUGAACUAAGUGGAACCUGCCUUGAUGUCUUCGGUUGGGGCGACCAUGGGGAAUACAAAACCCCCACGUGGAAAGGGAGCACACCCCUAAGCUACUUCUUCUCCCGCAAGCCAGAGCAACAGCUCUAACCAGCAGAAAUUCUGACCAAACUGAUCCGGUAAAACCGAUCAACGAACCA